CAAAAAAACCUGUUCUAAUUAAAGGUAAGUUUCUCCACUGCAUUACAUAGUAUUAGUUUUUUCAGUCUUCCAGGUUCUUAUGUAUUGGGAGUUCUUAUGUAUUCUCAAGCACUUGUAAGCCAGGUACUAAGCCAAUUGUCUCACCUUCUGUAAUGUUCUGUUUUUUUAACUUCACCAGCUAAUUCUCUCCAUUGGCAGAAGAGCUCAAAUUCUGUAAUUUUUGUAAUGCUAGUCGAUAUUAUAUUGGAUUUUUUUUUUUUAAAACUUGUGCAAUAUAGUAUGGUUCUUAUUCAAGUGUGUACAUCCAUCCUUUCUGAAAUACUUGUAGAGUAGAUCAUGAGGAGCUGCUUCCUCUUUAGUUUGUGCAUGGAAUCCAGUGUUUAUAAGAAUACUUAAUCUUUUUUUUUUAAGCAUAAUAUAUAUACUUCAUUCUUUUACUAUUUAUUAAGAAAUCAUACUUUACAUCCAUCCUUUCUAAAAUACUUGUAGAGUAGAUCAUGAGGAGCUGCUUCCUCUUUAGUUUGUGCAUGGAAUCCAGUGUUUAUAAGAAUACUUAAUCUUUUUUUUUAAGCAUAAUAUAUAUACUUCAUUCUUUUACUAUUUAUUAAGAAAUCAUACUUUACAUCCAUCCUUUCUAAAAUACUUGUAGAGUAGAUCAUGAGGAGCUGCUUCCUCUUUAGUUUGUGCAUGGAAUCCAGUGUUUAUAAGAAUACUUAAGCCCUGUUUGGAUACCACUAAAUUCCAUAGGAAUGGUAGUGGUUCCUAUGGAAUUUAGUGAUAUGUAGGAAAUCACAAUAAUAGGUGUUUGGCUACUAUUUUCAUAGUGUAAAAAUACUGUGAAAUCAUAGGAUUCCAUAGAAUUUUUAAAAAGAAGGUGUCAUCAAAAUAUUUUCUCCCUUUGUUUUUCGGGUUAAAGAACUCGUCCCUCACGCCUUUCUUUCCCAUCGCCCGCUCCAACGCCUUCUUCCCCCAUCGGCCGCUCGAACACCUUCUUCCCAUCGCCGACUCCGGCACAUUCUUCCCAUCACCCGCUCCGGCCCCGGAACUGCCAACGAAGUUCCUGCGGUUUGCCUCUCAUCGGGAUCUCGUCACUGGUGGCUUCUCCGGAGGUGUGUGAAGAUAUUUAAAGAAAAGCAAAGCGAUCUCGCCGCCGCUUCUUCAUUUCCGGCCCGAGCAUCCUCAUCCUCUCCAGCGAUCUCGGUCCAUGUCCUUCACUUCUCUUGAUCUCUGCUCUCUGAUCUCUUUCUUGGUUCUCGGGAAUUCUUUUGGUGUUGAUGCUUCUGAGAUUGGCUAGGGUUUUUGUUACUUUUAUAUUUUUUGUGUUGAUUGUUGGAUGGAAGGAUCAUUGAGUUGGUGUUGUUUUUCAGGGCUUUGGUUCCCGUAACACGCGUGGUGCCACCAUUGCGAAUUUCCAACGAGGGUUUGCGAGAUGGCAACUCAAGAGAAGACUGACACAAUGGCUAAAUGGAAUGAAAGUCAUAAAGCUCAUAUAGUGAAAUUGUUAGGCGACUAUAAUGUUCCAGCGUACCGUUCACAAAAUGGAUGGACUAAAGAGGCAUGGAAUAGAAUAUUGCAUGACAUGGUAACGAAAUUCCCGAAUUUAAAAUGCACCGUUGUACAAGUUAAAGCGUUAGAGCAAGAGAUGAAAUAAAUUUACAAGCUUCUGAAGGGGUUUACCGAAUUGAGUGGUUUUGGAUGGGAUUAUGAAAAAAAUAUGGUCGAAGCCACUGAAGAAGUUUGGGCACCACUACUCGAGAGAAAUAAAGAAGCUAGAAGAUGGCAUCAAAAAUCCUUUCCAUAUUCGAGCUUCGAAGAAGAAAUCUUUCUCUUAAACAAUUAGCAAGUGCUUGAAAUAUACGAGGCUCCAUACGAAAUUCACGCUUACAAUGUGCGUUAUGACCUUGAAGGAUUUCUUGAACAUAUG